AGGAGACGGACUGCUGGACUUUGACAGAAGUGGCGCGCUGCGCGUUACCGACCCCAAAACUUCUUCGACAGCUCCGUGGAAUAGGACAAGCUGAGAAACUCUGAUUUAGAGAAUCUGUUUGCAGCACAGGUACCCAGUAUCCCACGUUUUCGAGAAAGAACACUUUAUGGCCCAUUUGACAGCUGUCAGUAAGAAGGCCUGCAACUAAUCAACGGAGCACCAUUACAUUAGCUGUCAUUUGCUGGCCUCUUGACCCCCAGCUCUGUUAGCUAUUUCUUUGCAUGUGUUUCCACCCAGGUUGGAACAAUACAUCAGA